GAGUGAUAUGAUGGCAUACCAUCUUUCGGGACUGACUGAAAAAUGGAGAGUCCUUUAUUGUUGUACUGAUCACUC
ensembl:snoRNA small nucleolar RNA SNORD2